AACGAACGCUGGCGGCAGGCUUAACACAUGCAAGUCGAACGCAUCCUUCGGGGUGAGUGGCAGACGGGUGAGUAACGCGUGGGAACGUGCCCUUCAGUUCGGGAUAACCAAGGGAAACUUGGGCUAAUACCGGAUACGUGCGAGAGCAGAAAGAUUUAUCGCUGAAGGAUCGGCCCGCGUCUGAUUAGCUAGUAGGUGGGGUAAUGGCCCACCAAGGCGACGAUCAGUAGCUGGUAUGAGAGGAUGAUCAGCCACAUUGGGACUGAGACACGGCCCAAACUCCUACGGGAGGCAGCAGUGGGGAAUAUUGGACAAUGGGCGCAAGCCUGAUCCAGCCAUGCCGCGUGAGUGAUGAAGGCCUUAGGGUUGUAAAGCUCUUUCGUCCGGGACGAUAAUGACGGUACCGGAAGAAGAAGCCCCGGCUAACUUCGUGCCAGCAGCCGCCGUAA
rnacentral:rRNA from 1 species